CAACCCACAGAAAGUUCUCGCGGAGCACUGGUGCCCUUGAAUUCAUCAGGCGACCUCGCCGCAAAGAAGAAGGGCAGCGACUGAGACCGCCCUCAGCAAAGCGAGCCACCCUCUAACCAUGGGGGUAUCCGACUCGAAUCGUAUUUUAUGACUCGUUUUAAAUUUUUUCCUCCCGGAGCCCGAGACGCUGGGAAUGUUCUGAGCCCCUUUGGUCGGUCUCCGCCCUCAAGGAACUUCUAGAGCAGCUUCUGCUUCCCAGAUGGGGAGAGGGGGUGGGGGCCGCGGCGUCCCGGCGAGGCCGCAGAGUCUGUUAACUUUUUGUUACAGUCCGCCUGGUUACCGGAACCCCAAGGGUGUCAGACCCGCCUCGCUCGCGAGCCGCCUGGGCUCGGGAGGGUGAGCCGGGCGGGUGGCCCGGCGCCUCCGCCUGGCGGGCGGGCGGCGCGCGGAGCGUGGAGCUGUGCUGGUCCCUGUCGGGCAAAGGCGCGCACUGCAACCGGCUGGAGCGGCGCGAGGCUUUGAAGGCGUCCGGGCCUCCGGGCACCGCCGCCCGUUUCCGCCUCCCUGCCCUCGGUGCUGGGAUAGGGAAAGCAAGGACGCGUGUCUCCGCGGGGCUUUUACACGUCCGGAGCAAAGAAUAUUCGGGGCCCAUUGAUUGAGAAAUGAGGGUUGCUUCGAGGUCGCGGCUUCCGGAAAUUCUGUUCUCGAGUCGGGUUGCGGGUCAGGUUCCAAAGGGACAGUGGCCCCGGGGUCACAAUCACUACCUCUGCCCACUGCUUUCCGCAGCUGCUGGUCUUUGGGGUGAGCUGUUGGGUUGCCCGAGCUUCGGGUAAGGCGCGAGUGGGCAGGAGGUCUAGAUUUCGGCCUCCGAUAACUGUCUUCGACUAGGGGCCCAGGUAACGACCCCCACAUUUUCGUUGGGGUCUCCACCCGUAACCCCAGCCAGCACGACAUUCAGACACCCCUCCAGGCCCAAUUAGCUUCACAGACGCUCAAGACUUGGGAAAACAAAAGAGGAGAAGAUAACUGAACCCCUCUCCCUGUGCCCACCCCACUGUCGGGACCUGGGUGGGUUGGAGAAUAAAAGAGGGCUGACCCCGCGGAUUAAAACGGCUCCCUUCCCAGCCUCGUCCUACCCCUUCCCCUUUGUCCUUAAUGGUUUUUUAUUAUUGUCAGGAGUUGCCCAAGUCUCGAGGUUUAGCCAACCGUGACAGUCAUCUUUCCCACCGUUCCCGGGCUGUGACCCAUUCUCGGGACACUGGUGGAUAAGAAUGGGGUCUCUGGAGUCCGACGCCUGGAUUCACGUCCUGGCUAGUCGCGUGAACCUUGGUGCUCUCAUCUGUGCAGUGGGAAUAAUGCAGGUUCUGGGCAGGGAUGGGAAGAGUGAAUGCGCUGGUACGGUAAGGUGCCUCGCAGGCACGUGAGGGCCUCUCUAAUCGUUAGCUAUUGUCACCGAUUGUAUUGUUAUGACUUCUACCACCACCACUCCCCCUCCUCCUGGGAUGGUGAUUCCAGGGCCAGGCGGCAGGCUAUAACUAGCGCCCUUCCAGGUGGAACCCGCCAGAGCCCCGAGGCAGCCUAGGAUUUUCUGAGAUCAGACACACUUGGGCCGGGUUGGGAGGAACUGGCAGGAAAAGGACUGAACCCUUAAUGUCAGGCGGUUUUGAAGCACCUGGGGCAAGCUAUGGAAAUCCCCACAGGAAGGCUCACGCAGUCUCUUAGGCGGCUGCCCUCCACCUGCCACGUUCUUUUUGAUUGACUAAAAAACGCUGAAUGAAGAACGAAGUCGCGUGGAAACCCUCGCCGCGCGCCUGCAGCGGACAGCGCAGCCCGGGAGGUUCGGCUGCCGACUUGCGCCCGGGGGCUGCGCUGCGAGCGGCCACGCAUGGCGGCUGGACCCGGGCGGCCGCAAGGGCUUGGCUGGGCCGCGGGAGGCGGGAGGUUCUUCGUCCUCCCGAGCCAUCUCCCUGAACUGACAAGCAGGACUCCCGGGUCCAGGGGGCACAGGGCCCGGGGCGGUGACCCGGCGGAUCGGGCUGCCGGAGGAGCCCACUGUAAAUGCCGCAACUGGCCCCAAACACUGCGUUCCUGGACUGCACCAGCAGCUCCUGGCGCGGCCGCAGAGUUGGUGGAUAUUUUCCAAGGGGGAAAAAAAUCUUUUAAAUGCCAUCUGUUUACUUUAAAAAUGUUGAUUACUUAAGAAAAACGAAUGGAUGUCUGGGCAAAGGUAUGGACGUCACAAUUAUUUUGAAGGCGUCCUUUUUAACUUUAAACAGACCACGCCAGGAGGAGACUGCUGACCCAGAGCGCAUUACCUAAAAUCUGGUACCCAGAGUGCACCCUUCGCCCUCGUUGGAGUUCUCUCCUCUCUGCCAAGCUUUGCUCCGUGCCAGAGGUGUGCUCCAUUGUACCUCCGCUCUGUCCCUGCAGUCAGGCAACCAAUUGGAGAAGAGUAUAAAUAGUAAUUAACCAGGGAGAGUUGUAAUUCAGAAACCUAGUUAAAACAAGUCCUCAAAAACUAGAGAAUAUGAGAGUGGGGAGACAUUUUGAAGGCAUUAAGAACAAAAAACGAUGGGGACGAAUGGUUGAGUCUGAGGAUCAGCAUCGUAAUCUGUUAGAGAACGAGGUCGUGGCUGUGUCUGUGAGUCGUUAAUGGGUUUAAUCGGUUGAUACACAGCCUGCUAGUGGCCUAACCAGUAACCCAGGGCCUGGCAGAUUUGCAUGACAUCUCGGAGUUUGAUUGCUCUUCCUUCCACUUGGCAAAAGGAGACACCAUCAGCCGGAUCAGGAGGGGUCAUGGUGAGAUGGAACCCACCGAGGUGGUGUACAGAGCUGGCGCUGCCAAUGGCCAGAGUGGCAGCCUUUCUACCUCCUUAACCCUGCAAAAAUCAAACGUGCUAGUACGCACUGUCCAUCCACACUGGAACUCCAGUUGGUUUUAGUCUGCGAUGAUGACUCUUCUGGGUUGACUUUUCCAGUUCAUUAUGCAGCCCUCUUGAAGCAGGCCUCCCAAACUUAGCAGACACCAAUGAGAACCUCACAAAGAGGCUCAUCAAGCAGGCUGGUGAAACUGGGUGUUACUUCCUGUUCCAUGGGUACCCCAUAGUGUUUGGGAAACACCGGGCUGUGGUUCAGGAGAAUUUCACAUAUGCUAAGAUGGAGAAAGAACCUGCCCUUUACAUUUAGGCUUGGGAUGUUAAUUUAAAGUUUGAAUGACCAAAAAUUAAAUCUGUAACUUU
rnacentral:lncRNA from 1 species